CUUCAUGAGACUGUACAGCUAUAUUGAACAAACCAUAACCAAAACACGCCAAUAAAAGCGGGUUUUCCCCGCCAACGGUUCGCAAUUUUAAAAAAUGUAUCAAAAACGCUGAUCUGUUACAAUUCACACACAGGAAGUCAAACCGAAACUCCAUCGAUAAAUUUUGUCCGGAAUAAAACAUUGGCGUUGCUAAACAUACCAUCUUUCAAUGACACAACCACAAACUGAAACAAAUUAAACACAGAAUUUGUUUAUCUUCAAUAAUUAACAAAAUAAAACAAUAUUUAUUUA